ACAAGUAAUGCAGGAGGAUGCGAGAGAGAGAAAGUAGCCAUGCUCGAUCAAAGGAGAGGGCUUUAGGUGACAAGUUUGCAUUUGAAAGGCUCGUCCCUCGGUGUUGUGUUUCUGGAGGCCUGGAAGACGUCUGAAUAUUGAAUUAUUACAGCUGUUAGUGUUUCUGGUCUCUGCGUUUGUGAUGUGAAAUAUGUGGGAUGGAGAGGGCAGAAGACAGCAACAAAUGGACAAAGGCUGCUACUAUAACAAUAACCUAUAACAGAAUUAUAGGCCUGUAAUUAGCCUAUACUAACUAACUCUUUCAUUUUAUACUCCUGUUUCUUCCCCACAUUUGGUGACUUGUAUUUUUAUGGAUUUUUAGCCAGUUGGUCUUGACUGUCUUGCAGCCUCCCUCUCUCACCGUGAGCUCUUCAGGAGUUAGUGUGGCAGGCAGGGACAGCAGGCGCUCAUAUACAAAGCCAGCACGUUUCACUCUGUCUGCUGCAGCCGAGCGGCGCUGAGCACCACCUCCAGCAUCUCCAGCAGCAGCAGCAGCAGCAGCAGCGGAUCGGGGAGGGUUUUUUUGGAGCACACUUUGAGGACCAACGACGCGAGCGAGCGGCUCCAGGCACGAGACCAGUCGAUAAUAAUGCUCACCUGGCUGGUCGCUGGUCGACGGUCGCCGGUGGCUCGGGGACGGUCUUGGCUGUUGAUUGAGCGGAGGUGUUGCUGUCCGAGGUGCUGAAAAAGCGGCUGACAGACCGUCAUUGUGCCUCUUCCAGUCGAGACGAUACGCAUGAACUGACGUGAAUGCCGAUCAGCACAACACACCAGCACACCGGCGGGUUAACACAGCACCCCCGGCCAGAGUAAAUGGGACCGCACGUCGCCCCAGCGUUAGAAAGAUGGAGAGAUUUUCCCUGCUCGUCCUCAGCUGUCUCUGCGUCUCUCGAGUCACAGCGGAUAGCUUGUCACCUCCUGUCAAUGUGACCAUCAAAGCGGUGAAAGCAAACUCUGCUGUGGUGACAUGGGACAUCCCCGAGGGAGAUCCUGUCAUUGGCUUUGCCAUUACACAGCAGAAGAAAGACGUGCGCAUGCUGCGAUUCAUCCAGGAAGUCAACACCACCACGCGCUCCUGUGCAUUAUGGGACUUGGAGGAGGAGACAGACUACAUUGUGCAUGUCCAGUCCAUCAGCAUGUCUGGGACGAGCCCACUGAGCGAACCCCUGCGCUUCCGAACGCCGAAGGAGGCCGAGACUCAGGCCUCUAAGGGUAAAGACGAAGUGACGAUGGAGGAAGUGGGCCAGACCACCCAGCUGAGGGCGGGGGAGCUCAUCAUCAUCGUGGUGGUACUUAUCAUGUGGGCAGGUGUGAUCGCUCUCUUCUGUCGCCAGUAUGACAUAAUCAAAGACAAUGAGCCCAACAACAACAAGGACAAAGCCAAAAACUCCUCAGAGUGCAGCACUCCUGAACAUCCGACUGGGGGGCUGUUGCGCAGUAAGGUAUAACCCAACCCCCUCCUCUCCCCGGGUGCCUCCCCCUCUGCGGCGCCGGGCAGUUCCCCAAGAAGAACAACAACAACAAUAGGAUGCCAUCUGUCAACAUCAUUGAGGUGUGACUGCCAGGACGUCUUUUCUUUAUCCAAAAGACUUUGUGUUCUCACAAACAAGCGAGCCCCUUUUAAGCCCAUCUGCUUGUCAGGAUGAGGCUGGGACUGUGGGCCCCUCGGCGGCGCUUACUCUCCUUUGGCAUGGCGCCUGGCGCUAAAGUGAACCUGCAGGACUCCGGGGGUCAGGCACGGCCUGGCCGGUCCUGGUCUGAGAGCAGAUUCGGUGGUGGAGUGACUGUGGCGUGAGUUCAAUGGCUGCGGUGGGCUCAAUACCUAUAGUACCAUGGGGCUGGAGAGAUUAGGGCCAAAUGGCUCCGGAGUCAGAGAGACUGCAGAUAAACCAACCCCAGGGACCAAAGCCGAUGAACAGACCCA